rnacentral:rRNA from 1 species
AGAGUUUGAUCCUGGCUCAGGACGAACGCUGGCGGCGUGCCUAAUACAUGCAAGUAGAACGCUGAAGAGAGGAGCUUGCUCUUCUUGGAUGAGUUGCGAACGGGUGAGUAACGCGUAGGUAACCUGCCUUGUAGCGGGGGAUAACUAUUGGAAACGAUAGCUAAUACCGCAUAACAAUGGAUGACACAUGUCAUUUAUUUGAAAGGGGCAAUUGUUCCACUACAAGAUGGACCUGCGUUGUAUUAGCUAGUAGGUGAGGUAAUGGCUCACCUAGGCGACGAUACAUAGCCGACCUGAGAGGGUGAUCGGCCACACUGGGACUGAGACACGGCCCAGACUCCUACGGGAGGCAGCAGUAGGGAAUCUUCGGCAAUGGGGGCAACCCUGACCGAGCAACGCCGCGUGAGUGAAGAAGGUUUUCGGAUCGUAAAGCUCUGUUGUAAGUCAAGAACGGGUGUGAGAGUGGAAAGUUCACACUGUGACGGUAGCUUACCAGAAAGGGACGGCUAACUACGUGCCAGCAGCCGCGGUAAUACGUAGGUCCCGAGCGUUGUCCGGAUUUAUUGGGCGUAAAGCGAGCGCAGGCGGUUUGAUAAGUCUGAAGUUAAAGGCUGUGGCUCAACCAUAGUUCGCUUUGGAAACUGUCAAACUUGAGUGCAGAAGGGGAGAGUGGAAUUCCAUGUGUAGCGGUGAAAUGCGUAGAUAUAUGGAGGAACACCGGUGGCGAAAGCGGCUCUCUGGUCUGUAACUGACGCUGAGGCUCGAAAGCGUGGGGAGCGAACAGGAUUAGAUACCCUGGUAGUCCACGCCGUAAACGAUGAGUGCUAGGUGUUGGAUCCUUUCCGGGAUUCAGUGCCGCAGCUAACGCAUUAAGCACUCCGCCUGGGGAGUACGACCGCAAGGUUGAAACUCAAAGGAAUUGACGGGGGCCCGCACAAGCGGUGGAGCAUGUGGUUUAAUUCGAAGCAACGCGAAGAACCUUACCAGGUCUUGACAUCCCGAUGCUAUUUCUAGAGAUAGAAAGUUACUUCGGUACAUCGGUGACAGGUGGUGCAUGGUUGUCGUCAGCUCGUGUCGUGAGAUGUUGGGUUAAGUCCCGCAACGAGCGCAACCCCUAUUGUUAGUUGCCAUCAUUCAGUUGGGCACUCUAGCGAGACUGCCGGUAAUAAACCGGAGGAAGGUGGGGAUGACGUCAAAUCAUCAUGCCCCUUAUGACCUGGGCUACACACGUGCUACAAUGGUUGGUACAACGAGUUGCGAGUCGGUGACGGCGAGCUAAUCUCUUAAAGCCAAUCUCAGUUCGGAUUGUAGGCUGCAACUCGCCUACAUGAAGUCGGAAUCGCUAGUAAUCGCGGAUCAGCACGCCGCGGUGAAUACGUUCCCGGGCCUUGUACACACCGCCCGUCACACCACGAGAGUUUGUAGCACCCGAAGUCGGUGAGGUAACCUUUUGGAGCCAGCCGCCUAAGGUGGGACAGAUGAUUGGGGUGAAGUCGUAACAAGGUA